rnacentral:sRNA from 1 species
GGCCUGAGCCACUAAGUCAGACUGUGUGAAUCUUUUUAAAAGAAAUAAAGAAUACUGAAUUCCUUCUCCACUCUCACUGCUUCACUUCCCUGGCCUAAU